AAAACCGGUCCCAGUUCGGAUUGCAGGCUGAAACUCGCCUACAUGAAGUCGGAGUUGCUAGUAAUCGCGAAUCAGAAUGUCGCGGUGAAUACGUUCCCGGGCCUUGUACACACCGCCCGUCACACCACGAAAGUUGGCAACACCCGAAGCCGGUGAGUUAACCUGUAAAGGGAACAGCCGUCGAAGGUGGGGUCGGUAAUUGGGGUGAAGUCGUAACAAGGUAGCCG
rnacentral:rRNA from 1 species